CAGAUCUUCAAGAAUAUGACCUUACAAUUCCUUUUUUAAACAGGGCAAGGAGCUAACGACCCAACAAAAGGAAGAGGAUGAAUCUGGAACGUGUGCUAAGCUUUUGGUUUUCUUGGCCAAACAAGCAUCACACGAAUGUGCUUUGGCCACAUCUGCCCGACUUUGCUGACUCGCUGUUUUGUUCACUCUUACUCUGAAAGUUUUAUAUAUAUAUUUUUUCAAAGUCUUCUUUUAUCACAAUUUGAUACUCAUGGGCUGAUUCCCGCCUGAGGCAGCUCCUACCACCAGGGGUGGCAUUCUCUGGUUGUUGGUGAGUUUUAAGCAGGAAGAGAAACUGGUCUGUAAGGGCCUCAGCCUGGAAUGCAUGGGCCGGAGCCAAGGCAAAGUGCGCUCAGGCCCCACGAACCGGGACGAGAGCCCCAGCACAGACAGGAGCCGAGGUGAACUCGUCUGGGUCUCACUUUCCGCUCAGCUCAGCACAGACGGCUUGGGAGGUGCACACGUAGCAGAAUGGGAUGAAGGUCAAGUUAAGGUUCUCCGGAACAACGGGGAGGUAGCAGGCGAUCUGCUCCCCCCAGGAAGGCGGCCUUUCCUGGCAUACGACAGUCUUCAUUCCUCCCUGUGGGCAAGCUCUGCACUGCUAGCAACUCACCGACCCACUUGGCUCAGGACGACUGCUGUGUGUCACCGAGGUGUGUCUGCAGGCUCUUUGGUCAGUUCCUGGACAACAGUGACCACAGCGACCACAGCGACCACAGUGACCUGAUAAAUGAAGCUCCCUACGUUUGGACAUUCAACGGACCGUCCUCCUCCAUUCGUGCUCUUCUACGGUGUCUGGCUGUUCUUGGCCUUUUACAUUUCCACCUACAUCUUGGAAACAGUGACCCAACAGAAAACAAAAAUCUAAAACCAGUAUCACUAAGUUGGGGUUUUCACUGGGGGUGCCCUGAGUCUACAGGUCAUUUGGGGAGAAAUGCAUAUUUGCAAUAUAGAGCUUUCUUCCUUUUUCAUGUAGUUAAAUCCUCCAUAUGUUUCUCUCAGUAAAGUUCUAUAUUUCUCUCCAUAUAGGUUUAUACAUUUUUUGAUUCUUUGUAUUUCUACAAAUUUGAUAUUUCUUGGUGCUAUGGUAAGUAUUAAUUUUUGAAAAUACUCAUUUUUUGCUUAUUGCUGAUGUAUAGGAACAAAAUAGAUUUUAUCUCCUAUAAUCUUUGUUUUCCUUGCUAACCUUACUAGUUUUAGUAAUUGAUCUGUAGAACUUCUGAACUUCUGAAAAUUUUGUGAUCAUAAUCACAACACCUGAAAUUGUAGGAGUUUCAUUUUUCCCAUUGCGAUCUUUAUAUAUUUUCUUUCUUUCUCUUACUGUUUUGGGCUGACGAGCCCCCCCACCCCGGUAUGUUGAAUAAAAAGUGGUGAUAGUGGGUAUUCUUGUCUUUUUCCUGAUGUCAGAAAGUAGAUGCCAGUGAUUUAUUGUUAUUAAGUACAAUGUUCUCUGUGGCCUUUUCUUGUGUUUUUUUUUUUUUUUCUUUGUCAAUCUCUUUAUCAUGUAAAGGAAGUCUGUUUCUCUUCCUAGCAAAAUUUUGGAAGGUUGGGCCCCAGUGACCUGGUCUGCAAUUGCCAGAAUUGGAAGCUGUUAGUACUUCUAGGCCUAGAUUCCAGGAAGGGAAGCUGGUGUAGCUGGUCCUGGGCUUGCAGAAAGCAGAGCUGAGUCCUGGUGGUGAGAGGACACAGGGCACCUCCGCUCAGAGCGGGGUUGGGGGGCGCAUGGGCAGGAACCACAGUGGCUGUGGUAGGAGGGGGCUCUGAGGACACUGGGCACGGGAGCCCAACGCCACGUAUGAUGCCAGCCACUCUAAACCAUCUACGUAGACCACGUUAUAUGGAACUCCUUCUGCCUGGUGGUGUUCGGGAAGGCUUCCUGUGGAAGUUAUAUUUGAACCGGGUUUCAAGGGGUGGAAAUAACAGGUGUUCCCUAGAUUGGAGGAACAGAGAAAGCAGGUGAGGAGAGCCUGGGGGACCUGGUGGAGUGCCCUUUGGCUCCUUGACACAGUCCAUGCUUUCCUGCCUCCUUUCUGCUCUCACGUAUGAGCAGUCACCAGUGUAGGUCCAAUUCCGAAUGGGAGCUCACAGCAAAGGAUGUUUAAUUAUGUCUCAAAAGCCCGAGUGCCAGAGAGGGGUGAGUAGUCAGGGUUCUCGUGUGUGUACGGGGAAGUGUGUGGAGGCUGGGAAGCUGCAGCCUCUGCAGCCGUCUGCAGGUGGGAGACCCAGGAGAGCAGGUGGCCUUGUGCAGCCCAGGUCCCCAGGCCUGGGAGCCGGGGAGCCAACAGUGUGAGCCCCAGUCUAGAGAAGACGCAGGGGCAGAGGUGGGUCAGUGCACCCUUCUUCUGCCUUUGUUCUAUCGGGCUGUUCACAUGGCAGGUGACAUGCACCCAACUGGGGAGGGCGGGCUGCUUUCCUCCUCGGUGGGUUCCAGUGCUCAUACAGCCAUGUUACUGUCAAACUGUGGCAAGGGGUCUGAGGCCUGGAGAGGAACCAGGAGAGCUGGUUUGCUG
rnacentral:lncRNA from 1 species